GAUGAACGCUGGCGGCGUGCCUAAUACAUGCAAGUCGAGCGAACAUAUAAGGAGCUUGCUCCUUUGUCGUUAGCGGCGGACGGGUGAGUAACACGUGGGUAACCUACCUAUAAGACUGGGAUAACUUCGGGAAACCGGCGCUAAUACCGGAUAAUAUUUCGAACCGCAUGGUUCUAUAGUGAAAGCUGGUUUUGCUAUCCCUUAUAGAUGGACCCGCGCCGUAUUAGCUAGUUGGUAAGGUAACGGCUUACCAAGGCGACGAUACGUAGCCGACCUGAGAGGGUGAUAGGGCACACUGGAACGGGGACAAGGUCCAGACUCCUAAGGGAGGGAGCAGCAGGGAAUCUGCAGCAAUGCGCGAAAGCCCGACGGAGCAACGCCGAGAGAGGGAGGAAGGUCUUCGGAUCGUAAAACUCUGUUAGUAGGGAAGACCAUACGUGUAAGUACAUGUGCACGUCUUGACGGUACCUAAUCAGAAAGCUACGGAUAACUACGUG
rnacentral:rRNA from 1 species